GACGAACGCUGGCGGCGUGCUUAACACAUGCAAGUCGAACGGAAAGGCCUGCUUUCCCUUGUGGAUUGCGGGUACUCGAGUGGCGAACGGGUGAGUAACACGUGAGUGAUCUGCCCCCAACUUGGGUAUAAGCCUGGGAAACUGGGUCUAAUUCCCGAUAGGACUGCAGGGUGGUGCCUGUGGUGGAAAACGAUUUUCUAGUGGUUGGGGAUGAGCUCGCGGCCUAUCAGCUUGUUGGUGGGGUAAUGGCCUACCAAGGCGGCGACGGGUAGCCGGCCUGGGGGGGCGGGCGGGCGAAUUGGGACUGCGAUACGGCCCCGACUCCUCCGGGCGGCAGCAGAGGGGAAGAUGGCGCAAUGGGCGGAAGCCUGAUGCAGCAACGCCGAGUGGGGGAUGACGGGCUUGGGGUGGUAGACUCCUUUCGACCGCGAGGAAGCCACCUGGUUGGAAGGGUGGUGACGGUAGUGGUAGAAGAAGCACCGGCUAACUACGUG
rnacentral:rRNA from 1 species